rnacentral:rRNA from 1 species
UAAUACCAGCGGUCCAAGUCGCAGCCAUUAUUAUUGGGUCUAAAACAUCCGUAGCUUGCUUUAUAAGUCUCUUGUGAAAUCUUACAUCUUAAGUGUAAGGCGUGCGGGAGAUACUGUAAAGCUAGAGACCGGAAGACGCAAGGAGUACGCCUAAGGAAGUGGUAAAAUAUGUUAAUCUUAGGUGGACUAACAACGGCGAAGGCACCUUGCGAGAACGGAUCUGACAGUCAGGGAUGAAGGCUAGGGGCGCAAAAUGGAUUAGAUACCCAUGUAGUCCUAGCAGUAAACACUGCACACUAAACAUUGGUAUCCCCUCGAGAGAUAUCAGUGCUGCAGGGAAGCCGAAGAGUGUGCUACCUGGGAAGUAUAGCCGCAAGGUCG